rnacentral:rRNA from 1 species
AUUGAACGCUGGCGGCAGGCCUAACACAUGCAAGUCGAGCGGAUGAGGGAAGCUUGCUUCCUGAUUUAGCGGCGGACGGGUGAGUAAUGCCUAGGAAUCUGCCUAUUAGUGGGGGAUAACGUUCCGAAAGGAACGCUAAUACCGCAUACGUCCUACGGGAGAAAGUGGGGGAUCUUCGGACCUCACGCUAAUAGAUGAGCCUAGGUCGGAUUAGCUAGUUGGUGAGGUAAUGGCUUACCAAGGCGACGAUCUAUAGCUGUUCUGAGAGGAAGAUCAGCCACACUGGAACUGAGACACGGUCCAGACUCCUACGGGAGGCAGCAGUGGGGAAUAUUGGACAAUGGGCGAAAGCCUGAUCCAGCCAUGCCGCGUGUGUGAAGAAGGUCUUCGGAUUGUAAAGCACUUUAAGUUGGGAGGAAGGGUUGUAAGCUAAUAUCUUGCAGCUUUGACGUUACCAACAGAAUAAGCACCGGCUAACUCUGUGCCAGCCGCCGCUGUAAGAC